rnacentral:rRNA from 1 species
GACGAACGCUGGCGGCGUGCUUAACACAUGCAAGUCGAACGGUAAGGCCCUUCGGGGUACACGAGUGGCGAACGGGUGAGUAACACGUGGGUGAUCUGCCCUGCACUUCGGGAUAAGCCUGGGAAACUGGGUCUAAUACCGGAUAGGACCACUGCCUGCAUGGGUGGUGGUGGAAAGCUUUUGCGGUGUGGGAUGGGCCCGCGGCCUAUCAGCUUGUUGGUGGGGUGAUGGCCUACCAAGGGGACGACGGGUAGCCGGCCUGCGAGGGUGACCGGCCACACGGGGACAGAGACACGGCCCAGACUCCUACGGGAGGCAGGAGUGGGGAAUAGUGCACAAUGGGCGCAAGCCUGAUGCAGCGACGCCGCGUGAGGGAUGACGGCCUUCGGGUUGUAAACCUCUUUCAGCACCGACGAAGCGCAAGUGACGGUAGGCGCAGAAGAAGGACCGGCCAACUACGUGCCAGCCGCCGCAGUAA